rnacentral:rRNA from 1 species
UGAGGAAUCUUGCGCAAUGGGGGCAACCCUGACGCAGCCACGCCGCGUGCCGGAAGACGGCCCUAUGGGUUGUAAACGGCUUUUAUUUGGGAAGAACCUGGGGGUUUCGACCUCCACUGACGGUACCAAUUGAACAAGCACCGGCUAACUCCGUGCCAGCAGCCGCGGUAAUACGGAGGGUGCAAGCGUUGUCCGGAAUCAUUGGGUGUAAAGGGUGCGCAGGCUGGCGCCUAAGUCGGAGGUGAAAUCUUGCCGCUUAACGGUAAAAUGGCCUCCGAUACUGGGUGUCUUGAAUCUGACAGAGGUCGGUGGAAUUCGUAGUGUAGCGGUGAAAUGCAUAGAUAUUACGAAGAACAUCAGUGGCGAAGGCGGCCGGCUGGGUCAGUAUUGACGCUGAGGCACGAGAGCGUGGGGAGCGAACAGGAUUAGAUACCCCCGUAGUCC